rnacentral:rRNA from 1 species
GUGGGGAAUAUUGGACAAUGGGCGCAAGCCUGAUCCAGCCAUGCCGCGUGUGUGAAGAAGGCCUUCGGGUUGUAAAGCACUUUUGUCCGGAAAGAAAAGCACUGGAUUAAUACCCUGGUGUUAUGACGGUACCGGAAGAAUAAGCACCGGCUAACUUCGUGCCAGCAGCCGCGGUAAUACGAAGGGUGCAAGCGUUACUCGGAAUUACUGGGCGUAAAGCGUGCGUAGGUGGUUUGUUAAGUCUGAUGUGAAAGCCCUGGGCUCAACCUGGGAAUUGCAUUGGAUACUGGCAGGCUAGAGUGCGGUAGAGGAUGGCGGAAUUCCCGGUGUAGCAGUGAAAUGCGUAGAGAUCGGGAGGAACAUCUGUGGCGAAGGCGGCCAUCUGGACCAGCACUGACACUGAGGCACGAAAGCGUGGGGAGCAAACAGGAUUAGAAACCCUAGUAGUCC